rnacentral:ncRNA from 2 species
AACGAACGACAGGGGAGCGCCGAGCCGCGGUACACCGCGGACACGGGCGCUGAGAGUGCGGACCGCCGCAGACCCUCGAACCUGAUCCGGUUAGUACCGGCGAAGGGAGUCGAGUUCUCAGAGUG